CACUAAGGACAAAAAGAAGAACAUCUUAUAUAAGAUCAUGGUAUGGCUUUGUUCAUACUGGUGUCUUUCUAAACAGACAUGGGAGAGGAGGUUUCCCUAACUGGCCCAUGGAUCUUGUGUCCAGUUUCUGUCCAUUGGUUCUAUAAGGGAAUGAAACACAUGGAUUUUUCCUUUUGGUUUCCACACUGGGAACCUGGAGUGUAAGGCCCCAAUAUCAAGCUGUGAACCCUUAUGAGACCAGCACCCCUUAGAGAAGUCAGGGGAACAGGGACCCCAUAAACAAGAUAAUGGCAGUGGAUAGCAGCUUCUGUCUUAACACACUCAUGGGAGUUGUGAGUUAGACAGGUCUCACAGCAUUUGGCUUCACUGAAAAGUGGUAGUGUUGUGUGCUCAAAAGCAACACUUGGUAAGGACCAAGAACCUCCACUUGGGAGACUUCUGCUUGAGGGAAUCCAAGGUGUAACUGAAAGCUCCUGUGACUAAUCCUUUACUAAUUCUAUGAAUACUUUGUAAGACUGCUGGCCCUUUGCUAUACCACACACCAUUAUGCUUAUUUAUGUUAUAUAUUUUUGGAUUUAUUGAUUUCUUUGAGAUUAAAAUAUUAUAUGUGCACCAUCAGAAUGAUAAGACGACUUCCGGAAAGUAUUUGAAAGGCUUUACCCUAUCCCUUACAGGUGUGGGUCAACUCAAACUGGAAUAACUGCCUGAUCAUGCCUUUUAACCUAGUCACAUAAAACAGACAUGACGUGUGACUAUUUAUUAAUUCAGAUUAACGCUGAUUAAUUUGCAACCAACAUAUAACCCAAAAGCAGACAUUCUCUAAAUAUCCCAGUUUAAAUGGCAUUACCAACGGGCACCAAAAUAUAAGGAUCCGCAAGUAGAGUCAGAUAUGGUGUUGCAGGAAUACUCUAUGGUAAAGAAGAAAAAGUAUUAGAAAGACCCAAUCUUUUCUUUGUCUUUCUGAACCUGAGUAUGCAUGUACAGUACUUACUCCUGGGGAAAACUUUGGCCUAAGUAUACACAGCCGGAGGGCUAAAGACAAAGCAGAAAAGGAAUACGUUAUUGACUCAAAGUGCUGCAAUUAUCAGGUGCAGGCAGUUUACUGUUGAUAGAAAAAUUGUCAGACCUAUUGGUGGACCUAGUGAUGCUUAUGCACAUGCGUAGAUGUCUUGUCAUCAUGCCCAAACAAACACCACAUUGUGACAUCACUAUUAGUGAUGAGCAAAUCUGUCCUGUUUCGAUUCGCUGAAAACAUUUCAAAAUGGCGAAAAAUUUGCACAUGGUGUAAAAUGAUCUGUGCCUGGCGAAAAAUUUAGCUCAUCACUAAUCACUAUGCCAAACUCAAAAUAAAAGGAUUCCAGAAGCAUGGGUUUAAUGCCCAAUCGUAUUUUUUGUUUCACUGUAAAGUUUCAGUGUGCGCUAUUUCAUUGGUUUAGCAACUUCUUCUCUGUCCCUGACUAUUCUGAUUGCUGACAGCCUUGGUUUGUGCCUGACUCUUGGACUCUAUGCUUAUCUAUUCUGAUACGACUUCUGUUUAUUCUACAGGUUCCCCAGUUUCCAAAAGUGCCCUCCCAACCUACAGGUCCCAACGGCCUUUUAGCCUUAAUGCUUAUCUUUCAUAACAAGUACUUCCAGGAGUCUACACACGUGGGGACGCCGCAGAGGGGGACGCGCAGACACCGUGCAGUGAGGGAGCGCUGGGAAAUCAUCGGUGGCGCAGAGUCACAGCGGCUAAAACAUAGAAUGGAGAGGACUUCCCAAAAAACCCAUUCAUAAGAGAUCCAAAGGGAGCACCAACUGCAGAGAUGUAGAAAUGGAAGUAUCUGUGGUGAUAUCUUUAUCCAUAAAUAACUGGCCUGCCUUGUUGCUGCCCAAUUGGGUUGAAGUGUCUACAACUGACAGAUGGAUAUUGAUGGAUACUAUAUGUGUGUCAUUUCGGAAUAUUUCUGCUGGCCGAACUACAUUCUCAAAUGUCCUUUUCUGUGACGGAUCCAGCAGUCACCCCAGGGACAUAUGCCCUUCAACCCAGACUGGGUCCUCAUCAAAUGACAUGUCACUGAGCCCCUCCAGCCAUGCUUGGAUGUACCAAGUGCUGCUGAUCACCAAGACUGCUGUGAAAGUUGAAGGUUUUAUUAUUUCACUUCAAGAACUACCAUUUGCUUUGGGGGUUUAGGGUAAGUGUAGACAUAAUAACUCCCCUUUCCUUGUGCCACCCAAGUCCCAGGGACCUUGGGAUUCAGUGUUAUGGCAGUAGGUCCCCAUUGGGUGAUGACUACUAGGAUUAUCAUGCUUACUUGGGCUAUACUAAUAGGCUCCAAGCCAGAUAAAGGACUGGAGAGCCCUGAUUACUAUGCAGAGCAACAGAAAUAAAGACUUUGAGACUGUGUGGCUAUAUGUUUGUUUUGGAUUUCUGCCUGCAAGUUGGCAUGGGUUUUCCAAUGGCGUGGCAAUCAUUUUACAUGAGUAUUUCAUGACUUGUGAUGUUAACGGGCGCUAAUUUUUUAUUAUCUAUGGUUUUUGAAUUAUUUAGGAUUUUUUUUUUCAGCUGCU